rnacentral:rRNA from 1 species
UACGUAGGAGGCAAGCGUUGUCCGGAAUUACUGGGCGUAAAGCGCGUGCAGGCGGCCUUGCAAGUCGGACGUGAAAUCCCACGGCUCAACCGUGGAAGUGCAUUCGAAACUGCGAGGCUGGAGUCCUGGAGAGGAAAGUGGAAUACUCGGUGUAGAGGUGAAAUUCGUAGAUAUUCGCAAGAACACCAGUGGCGAAGGCGGCUCACUGGCCCGGUACUGACGCUGAGGCACGAAAGCGUGGGGAGCAAACAGG